AGCCCUUGACAUGGCAGGGCGGCUAUCGGAGACGGUAGCCUUCUCUUCGGAGACCUGCACACAGGUGCUGCAUGGCUGUCGUCAGCUCGUGUCGUGAGAUGUUGGGUUAAGUCCCGCAACGAGCGCAACCCUCGCCCUUAGUUGCCAGCAUUCAGUUGGGCACUCUAAGGGGACUGCCGGUGAUAAGCCGAGAGGAAGGUGGGGAUGACGUCGUAUCUCACUG
rnacentral:misc_RNA from 1 species